UUACAAUGAGUGAACAAAUUUACAUGGUUUUUAACAAAUUUACAAUGAGUGAACAAAUUUACAAGUUUUUAAACAAAUUUACAUGUUUUUAAACAAAUUUACAAUGAGUGAACAAAUUUACAAGAUUUUUAACUCAUUUACAAUGAGCGAACAAAAUUACAAGUUUUGAAACAAAUUUACAUUUAUUACGGAAAGGGUAGGUACAAUACCCUGACGUCACGCAUCCGAGCCUCCGGUGAGAAACCCGGAAGUAUCGCCGUGAAUCACAUGAGAGUUGUGAAUGCGAUGUUGUCUAUUAGGCUGUACAUAAUAUUAACGGAAAGACAGUGAUAAUAUAUAACCUUUCAUCGCUUCCGAAGUGACUAAAAGGGAUAUUGGACCUUAUUUUCAGAUUACAGACAACACGAGAGGGUGCUUAGAACGUUUUAAUCAGGACUGCAUUGUUCGUUCGCUCCCGGUGUUACAAGACUGAAAAGAGGAAGUGUGACGAGUUUGUUUACAUGGUGCUGUAAACUCCAACCCAGAAGGACAAUUCAGAGGAAUCAAGGUGUCUGUGAUAUUGAAACACUAAAGGAAGAAGAGGAGGACCACCAUUCGUUUCCUGAUCAGAACACAAGAGAAGAAUCUAACAGUGAUUCUGGGGCAUUGCAACACUAUGAUUACCUGAAAACAUCUCCUAUUAUGGAAGAUUAUCGCAACAUUUGUGUCUUGGAUCAGUUUUUCUUGUUUCUCUGCCGUAUGAGGCAGGGUCUUCUUUCCGCAGAUUUAGCUGUAAGGUUUAAAGGUCCCGUUUAUCCUGAUUCCAUUAUUUAAACUUUAGUUGGUGUGCAAUGUUGCUGUUAGAGCAUAAAUAAUACCUGUAAAUUAUAAAGCUCAAAAUUCUAUACCAACAAUAU